CCUGUUGUUCUACGAACAGAAGUCUAGUUGUACAUACAAUGGAGUGAUCCUAUGUAUGAAGCUAUCAGGGCAAUGUCUACAGUUUAAAAGAGAUAUCGUGUAAAAAAACAGAAAUCCAAUAAAAAUCUCUAUCGAUAAACUC
rfam:Orientia tsutsugamushi str. TT76 ut76.contig.3_1, whole genome shotgun sequence.